CUCCAGUAUAGAGAUCUGGGUAACUGAAGCUCCAGUAUAGAGAUCUGGGUAACUGAAGCUCCAGUAUAGAGAUCUGGGUAACUGAAGCUCCAGUAUAGUUAGGAAGCCUGAUGAACCAAACCACUCAUCUAUCUGAUAUCAACACAUUUCAUCACUUUACUGCAGACUGAAUGGGAUCUUUCCAGGGUAACUUGUCAUCUAUUAAAACUCCCUGGAAUCUACUGGAUGUGACUUGUUCCGUUUCAUUCACACCAAUUGAGAUUCUGGCUCUUUAACAAUAUUUCUUAUUCUUACUAUUGAAUACAAUAACAUAGGAUUUUGUUUUAUUUAAAGAUUAAUUGUGUAUUUGGAACCAUUCAGAAAAUUUGGCAAUGCCUGUGUUAGCUUAAUUAAUUAGUGAAUCAAAAGUAUUGUGUUAUAAAAUCUAAUUGAUGUCAUCAGCAAAGAGAAUGAGAAGUACAGUAGAAGACAAAGCAGUAAGGUUAUUGAUAUAGAUUCGAAUGGAUUGGUAGAAGACACAGCAACAAGGUUAUUGAUAUAGAUUAGAAUGGAUUGGUAGAAGACACAGCAACAAGGUUAUUGAUAUAGAUUAGAAUGGAUUGGUAGAAGACACAGCAACAAGGUUAUUGAAAUAGAUUAGUAUGGAUUGGUAGAAGACACAGUAACAAGGUUAUUGAUAUAGAUUAGUAUGGAUUGGUAGAAGACAGCAACAAGGAUAUAGAUUAGUAUGGAAUGGUAGAAGACACAGUAACAAGGUAUUGAUAUAGAUUUGUAUGUUAUGGUAGAAGACACAGCAACAAGGUUAUUGAUAUAGAUUAGUAUGGUAGAAGACACAGUAACAAGGUUAUUGUUAUAGAUUAGUAUGGUAGAAGACUCAGCAGUAAGGUUAUUGAUAUAGAUUAGUAUGGUAGAAGACUCAGCAGUAAGGUUAUUGAUAUAGAGUUGAAGUCUGAAGUUUACAUACACUUAGGUUGUAGUCAUUAAAACUCAUUUUUCAACCACUCCACACAUUUCUUGUUAACAAACUAUGGUUUUGGCAAGUCGGUUAGAUCUACUUUGUGCGUGACACAGGUCAAUUUUCCAACAAUUGAUUACAGACAGAUUAUUUCACUUAUAAUUCACUGUAUCACAAUUCCAGUGGGUCAGAAGUUAACAUACACUAAGUUGACUGCCUUAAACAGCUUGUAAAAUUCCAGAAAAUGAUGUCAUGGCUUCAGAAGCUUCUGAUGGGCUAAUUGACAUAAUUUGAGUCAAUUGGAGGUGUACCUGUGGAUAUAUUUCAAGGCCUACCUUCAAACUCAGUGCCUCUUUGCUUGACAUUGGAAAAUCAACAGAAAUCAGACAAGACCUCAGAAAAAUAUUUGAGACCUUCAAAAGCCUGGUUCGUCCUUGGGAGAAAUUUCCAAACGCCUGAAGGUACCACGUUCAUCUGUACAAACAAUAGUACGCAAGUAUAAACACCAUGGGACCACGCUCCAAAACCGCCGUAAAAUAGCCAGAUUACGGUUUGCAACUGCACAUGGGGACAAAGAUGGUUCUUUUUAGAGAAAUGUCCUCUGGUCUGAUGAAACAAAAAUAGAACUGUUUGGCCAUAAUGACCAUCGUUAUGUUUGGAGGAAAAAGGGGGAGGCUUGCAAGCCAAAGAAUACCAUCCCAACUGUGAAGCACGGGGGUGGUAGCAUCAUGUUUGCUGCAGGAGGGUCUGGUGCACUUCACAAAAUAGAUGGCAUCAUGACGGAGUAAAAUGAUGUGGACAUAUUGAAGCAACAUCUCAAGACAUCAGUCAGGAAGUUAAUGCUUGGUCGCAAAUGGGUCUUCCAAAUUGACAAUGACCCCAAGCAUACUUCAGAAGUUGUGGCAAAAUGGCUUAAGGACAACAAAGUCAUUGGAGUGGCCAUCACAAAGCCCUGACCUCAACCAUAUAGAAAAGCUUUGGGCAGAACUGAGAAAGCGUGUGUGAGCAAGGAGGCC
ensembl:lncRNA